GAUGGUAGGAUAGUGGCCU
rnacentral:siRNA from 1 species